rnacentral:rRNA from 1 species
GACGAACGCUGGCGGCGUGCUUAACACAUGCAAGUCGAACGGAAAGACCCUGCGUUUGUGGGUUUCUCGUUAGGCGAACGCGUGAGUAUCACGUGUGUAACAUGCCCUUGUCUUUCGGGUAACUUCAGGGGACUGGGGAGAUUACCGCGUAUAAUCUCCUGCUCCAUGGUGUUGGUUGGAGAGAGUCGGCGUUUGUGGCUGGUCUCGCGGCUUAUCAGCUAGUUUGUGUGGUAGUGGCGUACCAGGGCUUUGACGGGUAGGCGGCAUGAGAGGGUGACCGGCCACAAGGGGACUGCGAUACGCACCAGUAUGCUACGGGACGCAGCAGUGGGGAAUCUUGCACAAUGGGCCGAAGUCAGAUGUAGAAAUGCCGCGUGCGGGAUGACGGGUUUCGGGUUGUAAACAGCUUUGGACUGUGACGAAGAGUGAGUGACGGUAAUGGGUAAAGAAGCAACGGCUAACUACGUG